rnacentral:rRNA from 1 species
UACGAAGGGGGCUAGCGUUGCUCGGAAUUACUGGGCGUAAAGGGCGCGUAGGCGGACAGUUUAGUCAGAGGUGAAAGCCCAGGGCUCAACCUUGGAAUUGCCUUUGAUACUGGCUGUCUUGAGUUCGGGAGAGGUGAGUGGAAGGCCGAGUGUAGAGGUGAAAUUCGUAGAUAUUCGGCGGAACACCAGUGGCGAAGGCGACUCACUGGCCCGAUACUGACGCUGAGGCGCGAAAGCGUGGGGAGCAAAC